rnacentral:lncRNA from 1 species
UGUUGAUUUCGGCGGCCAUUUUGUUUUUUCUUAAAUAGGCCCGUAUAUUUUUACUUUAUUUUCUUAUUAAUUAUCAAUAUUUGAGCUUUUUUAUGGUGUUUUUCGUGCUUAGCUUUUAAAUUAACCCUAUGUUUAUCUAUUUCCAGUCAUUUUGUCUUAAUAUUGUUACCAGAUUUCUUUCUCUCUCUUGCCUAGGAACUGUCAAAAUGGUUAAUUUGUUAUUUUAAGAUAUAUUUAUCAUAUUAAGUAACUCAGUUUAUUACAGGUGAGAUUUCCUUCAGUAACCUGCUUUUUUUCCCAUCAAAAUACCCCCAUUUGUUUGUAAAAUAUCAAUUAUGGGGUAUGGCUUGGGACCCUUUUUCUGAAGAAAUUACCAGUAUUAUUGGUUAUCAGUUGGAUUUUCUUCAUCGUGAACUAUGAAGGCUAGAAUGAGAACAUGUUCCUGUGUUAAGCAACCUCAUACAGAUUCAGAUUCAGUUUUAUAUUCUUAGUUUAGUUAAAAUUUUCCUUCGCUCUGAAGCAUAGGGUAAAAUGGAGUUUUGUUAAUUUGAACUUAAAUUUGAAUUGUUUUAAGUGGAUCUCAAUUAAUUAUUAUGUUUUGUUUCAUAUUUUAUU